AACAGGAUUAGAUACCCUGGUAGUCCACGCCGUAAACGGUGGGCGCUAGGUGUGGGGACUGGUUCCACGGUUUCCGUGCCGUAGCUAACGCAUUAAGCGCCCCGCCUGGGGAGUACGGCCGCAAGGCUAAAACUCGAAGGAAUUGACGGGGGCCCGCACAAGCGGCGGAGCAUGUGGAUUAAUUCGAUGCAACGCGAAGAACCUUACCUGGGUUUGACAUGCACUGGAUCGCCCUAGAGAUAGGGUUUCCCUUGUGGCUGGUGCACAGGUGGUGCAUGGCUGUCGUCAGCUCGUGUCGUGAGAUGUUGGGUUAAGUCCCGCAACGAGCGCAACCCUUGCCCCAUGUUGCCAGCGGUUCGGCCGGGGACUCGUGGGGGACUGCCGGGGUCAACUCGGAGGAAGGUGGGGAUGACGUCAAGUCAUCAUGCCCCUUAUGCCCAGGGCUUCACACAUGCUACAAUGGCCGGUACAGAGGGUGGCGAGACCGUGAGGUGGAGCGAAUCCCAGAAAGCCGGUCUCAGUUCGGAUCGGGGUCUGCAACUCGACCCCGUGAAGUCGGAGUCGCUAGUAAUCGCAGAUCAGCAAUGCUGCGGUGAAUACGUUCCCGGGCCUUGUACACACCGCCCGUCACGUCAUGAAAGUCGGUAACACCCGAAGCCCAUGGCCCAACCCCCCGUGUGGGGGAGGGAGUGGUCGAAGGUGGGACUGGCGAUUGGGACGAAGUCGUAACAAGGUAACC
rnacentral:rRNA from 1 species